CUUGUGGGGAUGCUGGAAGGUCCCAGGCUUACAGAAUGAACCUGGACAGUGGAAGCUGAGUGCCAGGGAGGAAGGACCAUUAAUGAGCCAUGCUUUUUAUCUAAGCCAGUCUCCAGGAGAAUCCCAGAAGCCAGGGAGGAGUUAGUGAAAAGGGAACAAAGUGGGCAGGAAAGAUGUUUGCUGUGCAGGGAGUGGCAGCUCUGGGUCAAAUGGCUAGUGCAGCUGGUUUGGAAGGUCUAACUGCCAGCUCCCAGGGAUAGCCCUGACUCCCACAUGUUGGGCCAUUCCCUGACCCAGGCCCUUAAUUCAGCAGAUUCCAGCAUUCCAGGGUUCACCAAGAGAGGACUUCUGUGUAGAUUAUGUCCCAGAAAGCUAGACCGCUUUGCUUGUGCAGCAUCUGUAGCUCCCAGAGUGGAUACAGACCAUGAUGCUGAGCCCCAUGGGAAUCUGAGAUCCCAUGUAAAGAGGUGUUAUGAAGCUACCCUCCAGCCUCUGGGAAGGGGUGGAUUCCUGAACCAGGAAGAGGCCAGAGGUGGAGUGCAGGGCAGCCUUCCAGCCUGGGCCCAGACAGAGGAGACCAGGAGUCAAGAUGGACGUGAGGAGAUGGCAUUCAUGGUUGCUGACAACGAGCAAAUGAUAUCUGGGACUGGGAGAAGGGUUGAGACUAUCCCACAUAAGCCACCCAUUCCAUCUGGGACAUCAAGGCAGGCUAACCUUGCAACUGAAAUCAGUGUGAUAUGAAAAUCAAAUGAGUAACUGGAUUUUAAAGAAGUGACUGUGGGGCCUGGGUUUGUGACUCAGCGAUAGAGCG
rnacentral:lncRNA from 1 species